rnacentral:lncRNA from 1 species
UAGAAAUGGAUUUGUCUUUUCUCACUGGUGUACUCUAUUUGGCAGUUCAUUGUAACAUCUACAUUACGUGAUUGCAGGUCGGAUAGGUAAACAGGAAUUGAUGCUAUUAUCUUUUUAUUUGUUCUCCGUUAGAUGUUUUGACUAUGGUUGGUGCACUCAUCUUAUGUUAGUAUGAGUCCCUGUGUUGGAUGAUAUGCAGAAUGCUAGACUACGAAGAUAGUAAACGUUAUGCACAGUUCUUCCAUUUUCUUAUUUUAGUCUGGAAGAACGUAAACUUCUAUGGUAGAUUGUAUAGACAUUCGUCGUUUUAUCCUGUUGAAAUAACAGCUAAUUUUGUUUAUAUU